UGGGGAAUUUUGGACAAUGGGGGAAACCCUGAUCCAGCCAUCCCGCGUGUGCGAUGAAGGCCUUCGGGUUGUAAAGCACUUUUGGCAGGAAAGAAACGUCAUGGGUUAAUACCCCGUGAAACUGACGGUACCUGCAGAAUAAGCACCGGCUAACUACGUGCCAGCAGCCGCGGUAAUACGUAGGGUGCAAGCGUUAAACGGAAUUACUGGGCGUAUAGCGUGCGCAGGCGGUUCGGAAAGAAAGAUGUGAAAUCCCAGAGCUCAACAUUGGAACUGCAUUUUUAACUACCGGGCUAGAGUGUGUCAGAGGGAGGUGGAAUUCCGCGUGUAGCAGUGAAAUGCGUAGAUAUGCGGAGGAACACCGAUGGCGAAGGCAGCCUCCUGGGAUAAAACUGACGCUCAUGCACGAAAGCGUGGGGAGCAAACAGG
rnacentral:rRNA from 1 species